UGCUUGGGAAGUGGUGAUGAUGGUGUGAUUUUACUUUUGGGAAAUUUCCUAGAAAUUCCUAAAAGGGUAAUUUUAUGGGCUGAAAUUACCAAAAAGGCUAUAUAAUCAUAACAUUUUAAAAAAUUUGUUUCAAAACUAAUUUUUCUUUUAAUUUUAUAAAACCGAUGUCUGAUUAGAAAUCUAAAAUAUUUUUAUUCUGAUUUUUAUAUUUUUAAAUAUGUUUUAAAAUUAUGUUGCUAGACGAAACGACAGAAUGCAUCACCUUAGAUGGCGAGAGUUCAGUAACCAAAAGCAUCACUAGUCUACGCUCUGACCUAAGUAGCAUGAGGCACGUGGAAUCCCGUGUGAAUUAGCAAUUACCACCUUGCAAGACUAAAUAUUCCUAGGUGACCGAUAGCGAAGUAAUACCAUGAGGGAAGGAUGAAAAGAACCCCCAUCGAGGAGUGAAAUAGAACAUGAAA
rnacentral:ncRNA from 1 species